GACGAACGCUGGCGGCGUGCUUAACACAUGCAAGUCGAGCGGAAAGGCCCUUCGGGGUACUCGAGCGGCGAACGGGUGAGUAACACGUGAGUAAUCUGCCCUUCACUCUGGGAUAGCCACCGGAAACGGUGAUUAAUACCGGAUACGACCAAUCCCUGCAUGGGGUGUUGGUGGAAACUUUUUUGGGUGGGGGAUGUGCUCGCGGCCCAUCAGCUUGUUGGUGGGGUAAUGGCCUACCAAGGCUUCGACGGGUAGCCGGCCUGAGAGGGUGACCGGCCACACUGGGACUGAGACACGGCCCAGACUCCUACGGGAGGCAGCAGUGGGGAAUAUUGGACAAUGGGCGGAAGCCUGAUCCAGCAACGCCGCGCGAGGGAUGACGGCCUUCGGGUUGUAAACCUCCUUCAGCACCGACGAAGCGCAAGUGCCGGUAGGUGCAGAAGAAGGACCGGCCAACUACGUGCCAGCCGCCGCAGUAAAAC
rnacentral:rRNA from 1 species